UGAAAACAGAGCGGGAAGCUACAUCCUAGCAGCUAAGAAUAAUAGCAAGCAAUCUUUUGAACUAUUUGGCUUGAGGAAAGGAAAAAAAGUGAGUGAAUCACGAGAGUGGUUCACCACAUCAUGACGUAUUUCCCAUUGUUUUCUCAGGAAAUGCUUUCUACUUCCCGUGAGAUGCUUCCAGGAAACUUUUGCUGAACAGUAACCAGUUGGUGUGAGCUCUUCUGGAGCCAUCCUCAUGCUGAAAGUAACUUGGUUGUCCCAUUUCGGUGUGUGAGAGAUGGCAGAAUGCCUACUUCCCUUCCCUCAGGUCACUUAUGGCUUAUAUUGUAGCUCUCAGAAGGAAUGUCUGUAAGGGACUGUCUUGCAACACUAAAGGGGAUUCUUCUGACUGUGGGGUAAAACAACAGUGUUCACUUGAGAAGACCUGUAAAGAGAGAGGCGCUGUCUCUGUUCUUCUACCUGGGACAGCAGUUCCAACCUGGAGAGCUCUCUGAUAGUGUACUCCACACCGACACCUCAGGGCACUUGGACAGAUCAAAGAGACAGUGCGCUUGCCAUGAAUUCCAGCCUCCUCAGCAUGACUAUAGCUGCAGAGGUAAGACGUGCUUCACCUGGGUUCUUGGGCAAUGGACGCCAGCGAUGAGGGGAUUAGAGUAGAAGAGUAUAGAAAGGUUACUUGAGAAUUCCUACAAGACUCCUCAGAGAUAAAUAUGGAUAAGUUUUAUGAAUUGACCACAUUUUAAUUCCUAGCUGGUGUAGCCUAAGGCCAUAUAGGACUCAGGCUUGGAGCCAUAUAGUUGAAAAGAGGACUCAUCUUAUAAAACAGCUAUAUACC
rnacentral:lncRNA from 1 species